CAUCAAUAACAUCUUAUUACCUCAAACUUCCUUUUCUCUAAAGUAGGCUUUUUUUUUUAAAGCAGCAUUACCACCGGUACAUACAGAACCACUGAACCAGGCCUCACAACAAAGAGAGCCCGGCUGUCCUCAAGGGAGGACGAGAGUGUGAGGAGGAAGAACACCUACCACCCCCCACUGCAUCCCUGUGUAUUUGAGGCUUGAUUGACAUGCUCAGUGCAUUUCUCAAAGCCGCUGGCAGCCCUGCAUGGGCUUUAGGCCGA